rnacentral:rRNA from 1 species
AAGGUGGUGAAGCAAUUGAUGCCCCGCUUCCAGGAAAAGCCUCUAAGCUUCAGGUUACCAACAAUCGUACCCCAAACCGACACAGGUGGUCAGGUAGAGAAUACUCAGGCGCUUGAGAGAACUCGGGUGAAGGAACUAGGCAAAAUGGUGCCGUAACUUCGGGAGAAGGCACGCUGGCGGUAGGUAAAGUCCCUCGCGGACGGCGCUGAAGCCAGUCGAAGAUACCAGCUGGCUGCAACUGUUUAUUAAAAACACAGCACUGUGCAAACACGAAAGUGGACGUAUACGGUGUGACGCCUGCCCGGUGCUGGAAGGUUAAUUGAUGGGGU